GGGCGGAUAGCUCAACGGCAGAGCACCUGCGUCACAUGCAGGGGGUUGUAGGUUCAAAUCCUAUUCCGCCCA
rnacentral:tRNA from 1 species